GCCGGAACUUCCUCCUCCGGCCACCAAUCCGGGACGAGAGGAGACACCACGUGAGGAGGGCUCUGACCGACGUCAGGCUUAGCCGUCAAUAUUGUGAGUGGAUAUUUUAUUUUAUUUUCAAAAGGAGAUAUACAUGCAUGGUUUGGUUAGAAAAUUAUCUCCCUUUAUGAAAUGAUCUUAAGAAAAUGAUUUGAGUCGUUUUCAUUACAGUAUGUUAACGUGUGAGACACGUUGAAUUUAAGUGAUCAUCUUGCUGUUGGAAUAUUUAUGAUAUCAAGCUAGCAUAUUAUUCCACCUUUCGAGGUGAUAUGGCUACCACGUUUCAAGUGGGGUCAUGCAAGCCCUUUCCAUCCUAGUGGUGAUGUGAUGUUGCCGGUGGCAUCACGCAAUCCCUGUGCCAUAUCCGUCAACUCGACGUGAAGGUACAGGGAGUAUGGGAGUAUUAUGUCUGGGAGGCAACCGAGUCUGGGAGACUCACUUAUAUGGCCAUGUAAGUUAAAUUAUUGAGUUGUUAAUCUGACUAGUGGGGUUAGUCCACUAUUUUAGAAGGUGUCGUAUGCGAGGAAAUUAAUUAUUUUUCUUAUUAAAUUAUGACUAGCGAGGCUAGCGUGAAUUUUUGUUGAACUCAUAAAAUUUGCAUGCAUGGAAAUUCUUAAAUUACGUGUAAGUGGAAAAGCAUAUAAAAUUUGAUUUAGUAUCACUAUGUACUUAGAUACUUAUUUAUUUGUUUAUUUUUCGUCCACUCACGCUAACGUUUGUUUUUAAACGCUUUUCCCUGUGCCCUUUGUUUUCAAAUGCCCAGAUUGCAGAGCUUCUGUUCGGUUUCCUUAGGAAUUGAGGCAUAGUUUCCCGCUGCUCCUUGCUGAUCGUAGGUUACCUGUUAACCUAUGUGUAGUUGUUUAAUUUUCCUUCAUUAGUGCUCUGAGAACCAUGGGAUGAUGUAAAUUAAGUUGAAGUGUUUUUCUUUAGGACUAUGUCUCAUGUAGAGAGUUUAAUCUUGGUUGAUGUUCAUGUUAAUUAAUGUAGUUGAGUAUUUGGGUUGGUUGUUAAGUACUGCUAUGUCUUUGGUUCUUGUUAUGGGGAGUGAAGGACUCCUGUAGUGGUGGUUGACGAUUAUAGUUGAAGUGUUCAGUUUCAUUACAGGAUGGGUUGUCCAUUUUUAGGGGGGGUUAUGUCGAAAUUUCGGUAUAAUCUCUUUUAAGAGUGGACCCCGCAAGACUUACCUGUUUUACUGGGUGUUUUCGGGGUGGGUCUUGUCAUCAAUGAUGUAGGGAGCUACUGUAUACUUGGUAAAGAAUCAUAUCUUGAAAUUGUAUUGUCUAAAAGAAACCGUGCCAUCUACAAGAACCACUUAUUUUUUCCCAACGGCAGAAACAGUACUAAAUCCUAACACUAUCUCU